GGACGCAAGUCUGAUGGAGCAACGCCGCGUGAGUGAAGAAGGUUUUCGGAUCGUAAAGCUCUGUUGUUGGUGAAGAAGGAUAGAGGUAGUAACUGGCCUUUAUUUGACGGUAAUCAACCAGAAAGUCACGGCUAACUACGUGCCAGCAGCCGCGGUAAUACGUAGGUGGCAAGCGUUGUCCGGAUUUAUUGGGCGUAAAGCGAGCGCAGGCGGAAAAAUAAGUCUAAUGUGAAAGCCCUCGGCUUAACCGAGGAAUUGCAUCGGAAACUGUUUUUCUUGAGUGCAGAAGAGGAGAGUGGAACUCCAUGUGUAGCGGUGGAAUGCGUAGAUAUAUGGAAGAACACCAGUGGCGAAGGCGGCUCUCUGGUCUGCAACUGACGCUGAGGCUCGAAAGCAUGGGUAGCGAACAGGAUUAGAUACCCUGGUAGUCCAUGCCGUAAACGAUGAGUGCUAAGUGUUGGGAGGUUUCCGCCUCUCAGUGCUGCAGCUAACGCAUUAAGCACUCCGCCUGGGGAGUACGACCGCAAGGUUGAAACUCAAAGGAAUUGACGGGGGCCCGCACAAGCGGUGGAGCAUGUGGUUUAAUUCGAAGCAACGCGAAGAACCUUACCAGGUCUUGACAUCUAGCGCCAAUCGUAGAGAUACGAUGUUCCCUUCGGGGACGCUAAGACAGGUGGUGCAUG
rnacentral:rRNA from 1 species